CACUUUUCAAGAUAUAAGACAAUUUGCUGGUUGCCAUCUGAAUCUGGAAUUCAAGUUGAAGAUUGUAGCUUUCAUGAAACGAUUUGGAAAAGUGGCAUUGGGUCUUUCUUUGGGAGGAUGCUAUUUCCUUACCAAGAGAUUUCUCUUUAAACUAGCAAAGUCGUUGCAUUCCGUAUUUUCUUCGUUGUUGAAACUGAAAGGAAUCACUUAUCA